GCCCUCGCGACCGGAAGUGCGCGCUCGGGGGUAGGCGGAAAGGCGGCGGCGGGAUUAAUUAAAGACCCGAUCAAGCAGCCCGCAGAGGGGCGUGACCUUGUUUCCUCAGGAGCGUAGCGGUCGUGUUACUACUAUGUUCGGUAUAGUGCGGCAGAAAGAAGAAGAAAUGACAACAGAGCAGCAAGUCCCAUGGUCCUAGCUAAAAGGCGGUACGGCUGUGACUGCUGAGGUGGAGAGUCCUCAAAGAGGGAGUCUCACUCUGUCGCCAGGCUGGAGUGAAGUGGCACAAUCUCAGAUCACUGCAACCUCUGCCUCCCAAGUUCAAGCAAUUCUCCUGCCUCAGCCUCCCGAGUAGCUGUGACUACAGGGAAUUAAACUUAUGGUCUCUCACCUGAGCAUGGAGUGGAAAUGGGCAUAUAAGGUAAUCACAGAAGUUAUCACACCUACACUCUUCCCAGUAUAUGGAUGUACUAGGGAGGAAGAUUCCAUGGGAGAGGUAAAAUCUGCCCCCUAUGCUUCAUUAUACAAAGAAAAAGAGAACACUCUCUUCCUAACAGAACGGACCACUGUCUCAGCAUGUGGGAUGGUGAUAAUGAGGGAAUGAUUACCUACCAUCAGAUCAACAAUUAGUAUACACUGAAAUUACAAUGACUGUGAGACUGACCUAAGUGUGAAUAUACAACUUCUGAGCUUCCACUGCCUUUGGAGGGAUCACCAC
rnacentral:antisense_RNA from 1 species